ACCCGGAGAGACAAUCCACAGCGCCCUGGGUCUGUGCAGUGACCAGCCGGUACCCUGAGAACUUUCCCCUCCAAGACCAGGGAAAAUGAGACUUUGGCUGCAUUUAGUUUUCAUUGUAGCGGCCUUGGAAGGGGUCCGCUCCCAGGUUGUCUUGACCCAGUCGGGUCCGGAAGUGAAGAAGCCCGGAGAAUCCAUUCAGCUGAAAUGCACCGUGAGCGGGUUCAAUCCUGAUGAUUAUUGGAUGUAUUGGAUCAGACAGGCGCCCGGGAAGGGGCUGCAGUGGCUGGUCAGCUACUGGAAAUCUUCAGUGAGCAACCACUAUUCUCCCAUCGUCCAGGGGCGAGUCAGAGUCUCCAAGGACAGCUCCAGUUUCUACUUGCAAAUAAACAGCCUGAAACCGGAGGACUUUGCCAUGUAUUACUGUGCCAGAGACACAGCGAGAGGAAGCCAGUCUGAGCUCAGACAAAAACCACGCAUUGUGGUCUGUAGGGGAAGUCCCAGCGGGCUUCAUGCGGAGAGUCCAGACGCUGGGAACUCAGAAAAGGAAACACUUUGUUCAGUUCAUGAUGGGCUGAUUUAGCCCAGAUCAGCCCCACAGAAGACAAAGAUCCAGGGCUUGGUCCCUGUCUGACUGAAAAAGGUUAGGGAGACCGUUGCUCUCAAAUGUUUUAUUGAAAUAUUUAUUCCUUGGAGAAUAAAUUGUGUGAGCAAAAGGCAUUAAAACACCCUCGCACAGACCUCAUUUCCCAAAAGAGAGGAAAAGGCAGGAUAAGCAAAGCCUCACGGCUGUAGAAAGCCACCGAAAGACACUGUGGAGCGCUGUUCUAGAGCUGUGCAGUGUUGACUUGGAAAGGCUUUAAAUACUCCCUAUAAGAAUUGGCCUCAUCCCUAUUGGGCUCAUUGAUAAACUGUUAUCUAUACAAUAUGAGAACAGAGCGCAAAUUCAGAUUCCCCAGCCUUUUGUUCAUCCAUUCCGAAUCUGUCUAUCUCAUGCACACCUCCUUUCCCCACCCCUCCUUCUCUCAACCCAUGGCCACAGAGUUCCGAUCACAGACUGAGGAGAGUGUCUCUUCUAUUUAUACAUGCCCAUGCAAAUUAUUAACCAAAUGCCCCAGUUAAAUUCUCCCCUGCCUCUAACCUCGCAGCUCCCGCUAUACAGACACUCUGGCUUGUCUACAGUUUCUCAUUUACUCCCCAUCCUUGAAAAUUUUAUUUUUCUACACCCAAGAGGCUUGAGAUAUUGGUUCAAAGUAUUUCCAUUUUUUGCAAUAUCCAAGGUAAGUUUUUCCUCCCUAAAAGUCAUAGGAUGUAACCUGGGUCCGAAGGCCCACAGCUAUAAUACUGAUGGAAUCUGAAAAGAGAGCUUAAUUUUUCACACUUCUCUAUCUCAAUAAUCAUAGAAUGUUUAAUGUCCAUUUGUCCUGCUCUCUAGCCCGAUAUUCCUCUCUCACACAACAAAGCCUGGCUUUGGAUGCCCCUGGACCAGUCACUUCUUCCCUCCAGUUAGGUGCCAGAGGACUGGAGAAAGGUUUGACAUUUGCCAUCUGUAGGAAGGGGUCCAAUGAAGGGCCAGGGCACUAUAGGCCAGUCAGCCCAACUUUGAUCCCUGGAAAGGGACUGGAACAAAUGACUAACCAAUGCAUUUGUAAGCACCUGGUGGAUGAUGAGGACUAGACAGCAUGGAUUUGCCAAACCAGCUGAAUUUCCUUCUUUGGCAGGCUCACUGGCCCAGUGGAUGGGGGAAGCAGCAGCUGGGCCAUCUCUCCAUUUUCGCCAGGCUUUGGUGGCUCCAAGGGGAGGAGUGGACGCUCCUUUGCUGGGGCGCUGGUGUUAAUGAGUACACUAGUAGGAAAUUGUUUUAUUUCACUAACUACAAAUUCUCUGUUUUCAUUUUUUUAAAAUUUUAAACAGUCAAAAAACCCAAAACAAACAAACAAACAAAAACAUUGCAAAUAUGUGUAAAAGCAAAAAAAGGGGGGGGGGGGGGUUUCUUGGGACUGGAAAAAACCUAGAGCCGGCCCUGUCCAAAAGCCAAGUGUAUCUGCAAAUGACCGGCCUGCAGCCCGGAGACACCUCGGUGUAUUACUGU